rnacentral:rRNA from 1 species
UACAGAGGUGGCAAGCGUUGUUCGGAAUUACUGGGCGUAAAGGGCGCGUAGGCGGCCUUCUAAGUCAGACGUGAAAUCCCCCCGGCUUAACCUGGGAACUGCGUCUGAUACUGGGAGGCUUGAGUAUGGGAGAGGGAUGCGGAAUUCCAGGUGUAGCGGUGAAAUGCGUAGAUAUCUGGAGGAACACCGGUGGCGAAGGCGGCAUCCUGGACCGGCAUUGACGCUGAGGCGCGAAAGCCAGGGGAGCAAACGGG